rnacentral:rRNA from 1 species
AGCGAACGCUGGCGGCAGGCUUAACACAUGCAAGUCGAGCGGGCACUUCGGUGUCAGCGGCAGACGGGUGAGUAACACGUGGGAACGUACCCUUCGGUUCGGAAUAACGCUGGGAAACUAGCGCUAAUACCGGAUACGCCCUUUUGGGGAAGGGUUUACUGCCGAAGGAUCGGCCCGCGUCUGAUUAGCUAGUUGGUGGGGUAAUGGCCUACCAAGGCGACGAUCAGUAGCUGGUCUGAGAGGAUGAUCAGCCACACUGGGACUGAGACACGGCCCAGACUCCUACGGGAGGAAGCAGGGGGAAUAUUGGACAAUGGGCGCAAGCCUGAUCCAGCCAUGCCGCGUGAGUGAUGAAGGCCUUAGGGUUGUAAAGCUCUUUUGUCCGGGACGAUAAUGACGGUACCGGAAGAAUAAGCCCCGGCUAACUUCGUG